rnacentral:misc_RNA from 1 species
GAUGAAGAACGUAGUGAAAUGCGAUAAGUAAUGUGAAUUGCAGAAUUCAGUGAAUCAUCGAAUCUUUGAACGCACAUUGCGCCCGCCAGCAUUCUGGCGGGCAUGCCUGUUCGAGCGUCAUUUCAACCCUCAAGCUCUGCUUGGUGUUGGGGCCUUACGGUUGACGUAGGCCCUUAAAGGUAGUGGCGGACCCUCUCGGAGCCUCCUUUGCGUAGUAACUAACGUCUCGCAUUGGGAUUCGGAGGGACUCUUGCCGUAAAACCCCCAAAUUUUCUAAUGGUUGACCUCGGAUCAGGUAGGAAUACCCGCUGAACUUAAGCAUAUCAAUAAGCGGAGGA